rnacentral:rRNA from 1 species
UACGGGGGGGGCAAGCGUUGUUCGGAAUUACUGGGCGUAAAGGGCUUGUAGGUGGCCAACUAAGUCAGACGUGAAAUCCCUCGGCUUAACCGGGGAACUGCGUCUGAUACUGGAUGGCUUGAGUGUGGGAGAGGGAUGCGGAAUUCCAGGUGUAGCGGUGAAAUGCGUAGAUAUCUGGAGGAACACCGGUGGCGAAGGCGGCAUCCUGGACCAUUACUGACACUGAAAAGCGAAAGCCAGGGGAGCAAGCGGG